GCGCCUGUAGCUCAGGGGAUAGAGCAUGGGUUUCCUAAACCCUGUGUCGGAGGUUCGAAUCCUUCCAGGCGCG
rnacentral:tRNA from 1 species